rnacentral:tRNA from 1 species
GGGGUGGAGCAGCUUGGUAGCUCGUCGGGCUCAUAACCCGAAGGUCGUGGUUCAAAUCCGCCGCCC